rnacentral:tRNA from 1 species
GGAGAUGUGGCUCAGUGGUUUAGAGCACUGGCUGCUCUUCCAGAGGACCUGGGUUUAAUCCCCAGCCCCCA